rnacentral:rRNA from 1 species
AUUGAACGCUGGCGGCAUGCCUUACACAUGCAAGUCGAACGGCAGCACGGGUGCUUGCACCUGGUGGCGAGUGGCGAACGGGUGAGUAAUACAUCGGAACAUGUCCUGUAGUGGGGGAUAGCCCGGCGAAAGCCGGAUUAAUACCGCAUACGAUCCACGGAUGAAAGCGGGGGACCUUCGGGCCUCGCGCUAUAGGGUUGGCCGAUGGCUGAUUAGCUAGUUGGUGGGGUAAAGGCCUACCAAGGCGACGAUCAAUAGCUGGUCUGAGAGGACGACCAGCCACACUGGGACUGAGACACGGCCCAGACUCCUACGGGAGGCAGCAGUGGGGAAUUUUGGACAAAGGGCGAAAGCCUGAUCCAGCAAUGCCGCGUGUGUGAAGAAGGCCUUCGGGUUGUAAAGCACUUUUGUCCGGAAAGAAAUCCUUGGCUCUAAUACAGUCGGGGGAUGACGGUACCGGAAGAAUAAGCACCGGCUAACUACGUG